AGCCCUUCCAGUUCUUCGAUAUUCAUUCUGCCUACAGCGAUAUUGCAACUAUCGGUCUGUGCUUCGUUGUGCAGGCCUAAGUUUAGACAUGCAGCGGUAUGUUGUGUGGUAGACUGGGUGUUUUUCUUUGUUUCCGAAGGGGAUUUAGACGUCUGAUUUGAGUGAAUCAUCCUUGACUCGCCAUGUUUUCAGGUUCUGGUUUUCAGCCCCAGUAACAUCCCUGUUUCAGCUCCGUCUGGUUUCUUCCAAACCCUUUCCUGUUGCCUUGGACUACCAGCAUCUGGGACUGGACAGAAUGCACUGCCGCUCCUCCGAAGCGUCCCCUGAUGAUCCUGUGCACGGUGAUGGUGUUGUGUUCACUGUGGGGCAGGAAAACUGGGACGAUCCAGAGCAGGAACCCAGUCACCUCCCAGUUCAGCAGAGUCUCCUACUCCUGCUCUUCUUACAGCAUAGUGACCCCUUCACCUCUGAGCUCACAGAUAAAAUGGAUUGUGAAUUGUUGUUAGAGCUCCAUCUAGAGGACAUUCUGAGCAACAACAGGCAGGCCGUCACAUCAGCUCUGCAGGCUGAACUUUUCAACACGAUGAAGGCUUUAAAAGAAAGAAAAAAGGCAAGAAAGACAUUUUUCUGUAUUAAGUUCUCAACUUUAUGUAAGACUACUGUGCUUACAGGGGGAAAAUAAUUUGACUAAUUAAGUUUUUUCUGGUAUCGACCCCAUUAGCUUCAGUGUAUUUUAUGUCACAGAUUAUCUCAAAAUAGUACCAUAUUUUCCACACUAUAAGGGGCACCUAAAAACGUUCAAUUUUCUCAAAAGCCGACAGUGCACCUUAUAAUCUGGUGCACCUUAUAUGUGGACCAAUAUUGAGCCACAACAGGUCUCACAACUACGGUAAGCAGCCGCCGACUUCAUU